rnacentral:tRNA from 1 species
AUAAUAACUAUUCCAACGUAGCUCAGUGGUAGAGCAAUCGGCUGUUAACCGAUCGGUCGUAGGUUCGAAUCCUACCGUUGGAGCCAUUACG